rnacentral:lncRNA from 1 species
UUCAUCAUCCUCUCCAGCUUCCAGGCUUGGCCACGGGAGGCAGCUUUGUGGAUCUUCCUGAGAUCCCCAUGGUGAAUCACCUCUGAUCCUCAAUUUUAUAUACUACACCUGGUGGUGGCUCAGUGUUCACUCCGAAAAAUGAAAAAUUGCCCAUUUUUGUGAAAAAGUUCUACUGAUAUGUGAAGGCUGAGUUCUAUUGGAACCACCAAGUCAUGACACCAGAAGGGAAAAGAAGUAGUUCAUCAUGAGGUGGAAAUAUCUCUCUCUGUGGUCCAAGCUGGAGUGCAGUGGCGGGAUCUCGGCUCACUUCAACCUCUACCUCCCGAGUUCAAGCAAAUCUCCUGCCUCAGCCUCAUGAGUAGCUGGGAUUACAGGCAUCCACCACCAGAGACGGCUAAUUUUUUCUUUGUAUACUUUUAUUUAAUUCGGCUUAGGUUACUUGUUUAUUAGUAGUAGUUUUGCAUCUAUGGGAUUGUUGUAUAAAAUAAAUGGUUUAAAUAUGUAGAA